GUGUCAGCAGCCGCGGUAAUACGUAGGGCGCAAGCGUUGUCCGGAAUUAUUGGGCGUAAAGAGCUCGUAGGCGGUUUGUCGCGUCUGGUGUGAAAACUCAAGGCUCAACCUUGAGCUUGCAUCGGGUACGGGCAGACUAGAGUGUGGUAGGGGUGACUGGAAUUCCUGGUGUAGCGGUGGAAUGCGCAGAUAUCAGGAGGAACACCGAUGGCGAAGGCAGGUCACUGGGCCACUACUGACGCUGAGGAGCGAAAGCAUGGGGAGCGAACAGGAUUAGAUACCCCCGUAGUCC
rnacentral:rRNA from 1 species